rnacentral:rRNA from 1 species
AUUGAACGCUGGCGGCAGGCUUAACACAUGCAAGUCGAGCGGGGUGUUGGUGCUUGCACUAUCACUUAGCGGCGGACGGGUGAGUAAUGCUUAGGAAUCUGCCUAUUAGUGGGGACAACAUCUCGAAAGGGAUGCUAAAACCGCAUACGUCCUACGGGAGAAAGCAGGGGAUCACUUGUGACCUUGCGCUAAUAGAUGAGCCUAAGUCGGAUUAGCUAGUUGGUGGGGUAAAGGCCUACCAAGGCGACGAUCUGUAGCGGGUCUGAGAGGAUGAUCCGCCACACUGGGACUGAGACACGGCCCAGACUCCUACGGGAGGCAGCAGUGGGGAGUAUUGGACAAUGGGGGGAACCCUGAUCCAGCCAUGCCGCGUGUGUGAAGAAGGCCUUAUGGUUGUAAAGCACUUUGAGCGGGGAGGAGGCUACUCUAGUUAAUACCUAGGGAUAGUGGACGUUACUCGCAGAAUAAGCACCGGCUAACUCUGUGCCAGCCGCCGCAGUAA